rnacentral:rRNA from 1 species
AUUGAACGCUGGCGGCAUGCCUUACACAUGCAAGUCGAACGGCAGCACGGGAGCAAUCCUGGUGGCGAGUGGCGAACGGGUGAGUAAUACAUCGGAACGUGCCCAGUCGUGGGGGAUAACUACUCGAAAGAGUAGCUAAUACCGCAUACGACCUGAGGGUAAAAGCGGGGGAUCGCAAGACCUCGCGCGAUUGGAGCGGCCGAUGUCAGAUUAGCUAGUUGGUGGGGUAAAGGCCUACCAAGGCUACGAUCUGUAGUUGGUCUGAGAGGACGACCAGCCACACUGGGACUGAGACACGGCCCAGACUCCUACGGGAGGCAGCAGUGGGGAAUUUUGGACAAUGGGCGCAAGCCUGAUCCAGCAAUGCCGCGUGCAGGAAGAAGGCCUUCGGGUUGUAAACUGCUUUUGUCAGGGAAGAAAUCCUCUGGGUUAAUACCUCGGGGGGAUGACGGUACCUGAAGAAUAAGCACCGGCUAACUACGUGCCAGCAGCCGCGGUAACAC